rnacentral:lncRNA from 1 species
CUCACAGGGGUGUCAGGGACCUUGCUCCUCUAAGGAUGUUCCCCAGAAGGAAGCUGGGUCAGAAGCAGGGCAGGACUUAAACUCAGGCACUCCUGUAUGAGAUGUGGGCAUUUCAAACAACAUUUUAACCCUGCUGUGCCUCCAUACCCACUCCCUGGAUGAUCUUUCCUUCGUCAUCAUGUGUCCCUCUCCUUCCCCUCUCCCAGCAUCUGAAUCUCUCAGAACUUAAGCUGGUAGGGAAGCAGCAGGUGUAUUGCUAUAAUGUUCAAUCUUUCAGUUGCUUGAAAUUUGGCUGGAAUUGGGGAAGGGUCAGGAAAUGUUGAAAAUAAUUUAGAAGAUUAUUCAUUACAUUAAGCCAUUCUCUCCAGAUCAUGCCUAUAUUUACUAAAGACUGUUGGAGGCUCCUCCUUUACGAAGUAAGACUGCAAGCCCUCUGGUUUGAGUUUGAGAUUCUACUUUGAGCUCUAAGUUGUAUCCAGUCGAGCUGAAUGUGUCUUUCCUUCCUCUGGUCACUUUCUGUACUGUUUGUCCAGAUGUCCCUAAAUGACUCCUUGGAGAUGAUGCUCCAGCACUCUGACACUGGCCAUAGCCUCCAGAUGGCAUUUUUCAUCUAUCUCAGGGAGUACACGUCUCAGCCAGAAUUUGGGAGGUUUUAUUUCAUCAUUACCUACAUACGACCCAUCAGCUCCCGGCUUUCCUUCCUGGAAGUGGGGCGUUCUUCAAAUGCGGUCACUUGUUUGGAUAAUGCCCUGAUUCUGAACCCUGCUAGCAACACUGCCAACACAUCAGCUCUCGGACCGAAUGGCUCCUGAAACUGGCUCCUGCCAUCCAUAACCUGCUAAUGGACCAGGGCUUCUGCUGAGGGGCGGGAGAAUUCUGCUGCCUUAGCAGACAUCUGGGGAACCGAAACACUCUCACCAAGCAGAGGAACGCACCUGCAGCUUUCCACACUCAAUGAAAUCUCGGUGACCGGUACUGUAGAUGGAAAAGGUGAUGCUUGGACACUUCUUUUUAUGUUUGAAAAUACAGUGUUUCCCCUUGAAGAGACAAUCUUAAAGAACCUUUUAGGAGAGGCACUGCGGCACAGCAGGUCAAGCUGCCCCCGCAUCAUCUGAAUCCCAUAGCAGAGCAUUGGUUCUGGUUCUGACGGCUCCACUUCUCAUCCAGGUCCCUGCUACUGCGCCUGGGAAGUCAGUUGAAGAUGCUUCUAGACUUAGGCCCCUGUCUCCCAGGCGGGAGACCCAGAUGGAGUUUCCGGCUUCUGGCUUUGGCCUGGAUCAGCCUGGGCCAUAGUGGCCAUAUGAAGACUGAACAAGUUGUUAAAAGAUUUCUCUCUCUUUCUUCAUCACUUUUCCUUUCAAAUAAAUAAAUAAAAUAUAUCA